UACGGGGGGAGCAAGCGUUGUUCGGAUUUACUGGGCGUAAAGGGCGCGUAGGCGGUCAGCACAAGUCAGUUGUGAAAUCUCCGGGGCUUAACUCGGAAAGGUCAACUGAUACUGUGCGACUAGAGUGCAGAAGGGGCAACUGGAAUUCUCGGUGUAGCGGUGAAAUGCGUAGAUAUCGAGAGGAACACCUGCGGCGAAGGCGGGUUGCUGGGCUGACACUGACGCUGAUGCGCGAAAGCCAGGGGAGCGAACGGG
rnacentral:rRNA from 1 species